UGGGGAAUUUUGGACAAUGGGCGAAAGCCUGAUCCAGCAAUGCCGCGUGUGUGAAGAAGGCCUUCGGGUUGUAAAGCACUUUUGUCCGGAAAGAAAUCCUUGGCUCUAAUACAGUCGGGGGAUGACGGUACCGGAAGAAUAAGCACCGGCUAACUACGUGCCAGCAGCCGCGGUAAUACGUAGGGUGCAAGCGUUAAUCGGAAUUACUGGGCGUAAAGCGUGCGCAGGCGGUUUGCUAAGACCGAUGUGAAAUCCCCGGGCUCAACCUGGGAACUGCAUUGGUGACUGGCAGGCUAGAGUAUGGCAGAGGGGGGUAGAAUUCCACGUGUAGCAGUGAAAUGCGUAGAGAUGUGGAGGAAUACCGAUGGCGAAGGCAGCCCCCUGGGCCAAUACUGACGCUCAUGCACGAAAAGCGUGGGGGAGCAAAACAGGAUUAGAUACCCUGGUAGUCCACGCCCUAAAACGAUGUCAACUAGUUGUUGGGGGAUUCAUUUCCUUAGUAACGUAGCUAACGCGUGAAGUUGACCGCCUGGGGAGUACGGUCGCAAGAUU
rnacentral:rRNA from 1 species